AUUGAAUCCUCAGUUUAGGGGAUUCAAGACCCCGCUUUAGAGAUGUUAGAUUAUCAAAACGGGUUAAAAGUUGUUCAUGUUUUUUCAAUUUUGCUUCCGCUAAAUAAUUGUUGCAGCACUGUAGCAGAGGCCAAGGACAUCUUGUGGUGACCUUAGGUCAGGUUGAGAUGCUUAAUGGGUGGAACUAUAAGAAGUGGAGAAAUUAGGUGGAAUUUUACUUGUCCAUGCAUCAAAACAUGAAUCUUUGCCUAAUUGAGGACCAACCUUCUGAACUAGAUAGUGAAAGUACAAAUGAGGAUAGGAGGCUUUAUAAGGAGUGGUGUAGCAGCAACAGGAAAGCCAAAAAUGUGAUUAGGUGUACUAUGUCUGACACAAUGAAAGGGUCUAUGGUGGAGCCCGAGUUAGCCAUGGACUUUAUGGAGGAAAUUGCAGAAAAAUAUAGAGAGAGUGACAAGGCUGAAGUAGCUAGGUUGUCUAGAAAGUUCAAUGAACUGAGUUUCUCUAGGAAGGGCAGUGUGAGGGAGCACAUUAUGCAGCUAAUUGACAUUAAUUCUAGGCUCAGAGACCUGGACAUGGGAGUUAAGGAUGAGUAGGUAGUGCAUGUGGCACUUCGUUCAUGCACUUCAUUCUCCGCUAAACACUUACAGCAACCUGAGAACUUCAUAUAAUGCCCUAGAGAACAAAUGGAACCUCAACAAGCUAAUCUUUAUCUGUGUGGAUGAGGAGGAAAGAAUUAAGAGAGAAUGAGCAGCAACUACUACAGUUAACCUUGUUGAAAAGCCAAAGUGGAAAAAGCAGAAUAAGCUUAAGCCCAAAAAGACCACCAUCACUAAAGUAGCUGGGAAAUCUGCAAAAGCUAAAGCUGGAAAAGUCUUUAAGUAUAAGUGUUAUUUCUGUAAAAAAAGAUAGGGCACAUGAAGAGGGACUGCAGUGGCUUUAAAGCUUGGAUGAUCAAGAAGGGGUUUAACAAAGAGGAGGGCACCAAGGAAAAGUGAGCAGCAGGUCUGUGUGGGAAAUUGAACAAGGGUAGCAGUUAAGGCUAUUGGAACUCUGAAGAUCGACUUAGGAUUAGGAAAAUUUAUUUUUCUGGAGAAUGUUUAUUAUAUUCCUUCUUUAAA